AACGCACAUUGCGCCCUCUGGUAUUCCGGGGGGCAUGCCUGUUCGAGCGUCAUUACAACCCUCAAGCUCUGCUUGGUAUUGGGCAUCACCGGCCUCGGCGUGCCUCAAAAUCAGUGGCGGCGCCGCUCGGCUCCAAGCGUAGUAAUACUCCUCGCUUCCGGACGUCGGGUGUGUGGCUGCCAGCAACCCCCAACAUAUCAAGGUUGACCUCGGAUCAGGUAGGGAUACCCGCUGAACUUAA
rnacentral:misc_RNA from 2 species